CCUACGGGUGGCUGCAGUGGGGAAUAUUGCACAAUGGGGGCAACCCUGAUGCAGCGACGCCGCGUGAAGGAAGAAGUAUUUCGGUAUGUAAACUUCUAUCAGCAGGGAAGAAAAUGACGGUACCUGACUCAGAAGCACCGGCUAACUACGUGCCAGCAGCCGCGGUAAUACGUAGGGGGCACGCGUUAUCCGGAUUUCCUGGGUGGAAAGGGAGCGUAGGCGGUUUAGCAAGUCAGAUGUGAAAGCCCGGGGCUCAACUCGGGGACUGCGUUUGAAACUGUUGAACUAGAUUGCAGGAGAGGGAAGUGGAAGUCCUGGUGUAGCGGUGAAAUGCGUAGAGAUUAGGAGGAACACCAGUGGCGAAGGCGGCUUACUGGACGGUAAAUGACGCUGAGGUGCGAAAGCGUGGGGAGCAAACAGGAUUAGAUACCCGUGUAGUC
rnacentral:rRNA from 1 species